GGACUUGAAAGUGGCGACUGGCGAAAGAGGAGCAAGACAUUGGGUUUUAUGCUGGUUUUGUUGGGGCUACCUAUUUCCUUGGAAGGGCCAUCAGCGCCGUGCCAUGGGGCAUGUUCGCUGACAAGAAUGGAAGGAAGCCAGGCAUUGUGAUCAGCAUCCUCUCAGUGAUUGUGUUCAACACACUGUUUGGACUUAGCACAACUUACUGGAUGGCAAUUGUGACUAGGGGAUUACUUGGGUUGCUAUGUGGUAUACUUGGACCCAUCAAGGCUUAUGCUUCAGAAGUCUGCAGGAAAGAGCACCAAGCUUUGGGAAUCUCUCUUGUUACAUCUUCACGAGCCAUAGCUCUUGUUAUUGGGCCUGCUAUUGGAGGCUUCCUUGCACAGGUGAAGAUUAUGGAAUUUAGAUAGCAGUAUAAGUUAAAUUCGAAAUGCUAAUGAGUGCCUUCAUCAUGUAUCCCUUAAUCAUAACUGACCUCUGAUGUGUAAAAAAAGGGAUAGUGGCCGACAAAAAUAUUUCUAGCAUCAGGAAGGUAAAUUAUUUCUAGUAGUACAAUUUCUAGCAUUUAACUAUUUCAUUGUUUUUAGACGACUAUUAUAAACCUUCAAAAAUUAUGCAUCUAAUUUUCAGGUUUCCAUACUUCCUUCCUUGCUUUGUAAUAUCGUUGCUAGCAGCAGGAUCAUGUAUUGCAUGCAUUUGGCUUCCGAUAGAAUUGGCAAUAUACCUAUUUUCCUACACAUCCAAUGGGGCCUUGGGGACACCCUCCAUGGCCAACACAGCCACUUCCAUCACCAGCG